UUGGGAGGAGGAGGAGGGAGGAGGUGUAAGGGGAUCUCCCUGUGACCACCCGCAUCCCGUGUGUGCUGUUGCGCCCCAACCCCUUCCAGCCAAAAUUCCAUCUCAAAGCCAACGCUGCCAGAGUCACCCAAAUCAGUACGACUAGAGAAAUGCAGACCCGGCGAUCCACUGUGCUUGCCGAAGCAUCGGCCCGCGCCUUCGUGGCGAGGAGAUGAUCUACAGUUUCUCUGUAGCACUCUGGGUCCCUCUGAGCACUAGGACAGUCCUGGGCUGGACAAUGGAACCGCACUGUCAAAGGAAAGUGCCUAGAAGCAAGCUACUGUGCUGAUUCCCCCCUCCCCCGCAUUCUCUUGCAAGGGUACAUCAUGGUAGGAAGUCAGUUCCCUUAAAGAAGAUGACUUGAUAGAGAUACCCCACGACCAGCCGACUGCUUUUGUCUUGUGGGCCUUCGUGCGUCCAUUUCCUUCUAAUGACUCGGAUGAUUACUUCCGACUAGUAGGUAUUGAGUCAGAUGUCCAGAUUUUGUGCCGUUAGGAGGUGAACCAAGUGGAUAUGUUCUCUAAGUGCAGCCGAACUGAGCAAGCAAGGGUCACCCAAAGGUCACCCAAGGGUCACCAAGGCAUAAAGCAACAGGAGCCACCUAGACUUACAAAUUCAUGCCAGUCCCUUAGCAAGAACACCAGCCAGGAAGCACAGCCUAGCGUGACCAAAGGACCGCCCCCUCCCCACUGGGGGAGUCAAGCCUAGUGAUUAGCCCAGCUGUGCAUCCUGAAGGGCUGCUGUUGAAGCUCCGCCUGGUGGCCGCUGAAUAUUUGAAUUCCUUCUAAGAGUCUUGCUUAUUGGAGCCCUCACGCAGGUAAAAUUGCAGGGCCAAGAGGUGGCUGGUACACUUCAUGGGAUUCUUUUUUUCUUCACAUACACACCUUCCCUUUAGUUCAUCCCCCUGAGCUCGAAGCUCUCAGGAUUCCAGUCCCCUCUCUAGGUUUGGUAGCUGCCAAUGGCUCCAAUGUGCCUUCGUUUUGUGCUUCUUCAGCACAGGACCUGGCUUAGGGACUAGUAGGUUGGGUUUGGGAUCAGAGCACCUGGGUUAAAUCAUGCCCAUCGAGGCCCAGUCAGGUGAUCUAAGGCCUGCAUGGCCUUUCUGUGUUCAGGUGCCUCGUGCAGAAGACUGAUGCUGUCUGCUUCAUUCUGUGGCUAUUCAGGAAAUGUGUACCGAGAGUCUACAAGACACCUGCAGUUUGAAGCUCCCAUUCAGAUCCCGGGGCACAUCUGUGCACUCUGCUGGCCGUUGGAAGGGCAAAUAGUGAACAGACCUGUGGUCUUUGGAGCCACGGGAAUCCAAAUCAGAGCAGCAGCUUCAAGGCAGCAGGGCUGGGCGGGGCCCAGCAUCGCUUCUAAGCUGUACUGAAGUCAGGUGGGUCAGACAUGCUAGCAAAAGUGGUCUUUGAAAUGAAGGAGUUUAGGUGAUCCGGCCCUGAGGCAGCACUAGAAGCCACAGAAAGGCACCACAUUCUGUAACAGCCAGGGUUCUGUCGGAAGUUGUGGGUGAAGUACCGAUGACACUUGUAAACCCUGUUGUCACAAUGAUUCCCCGCCCCACCCUCAUUGAUCAGACAGAAUGGCGGCCAUAAAGUGAGCAGGACUUUUAUUCUUGCCAAGAAUGGGGGAGGCAGACUUGAAAGGCAACGUCUCAACCUUGGGCGUGAGGGGAUUGUAGCUAUGGAAUAACUGAGGGGAGCGUGCCUUGGUGCAGGCCUAUAGUUCCAGCACCGAGACUGAGGCAGGAAGUCAGAGAGCUCCAGGCCAGCCUGGGCUGUGCUUCAUGUCUAGUAGCAGGACAGCCUAGGCUACAGACUCUCACCUCAAGGGGGAAAAUCUAAGGAAGUUGGGGGCAUCAACUAACAAAAUAGGAAUAUUACUUUUUUCCUCUGUGGCUUCUGGAAAUUUUCCAGAAAAUCAGAUGUCCCUUUUUAUUCCUUUUAUGACUCUUGGCAAUUAUUAACUGUCAGGAGAUAGGAGGUAUUGUGUAGCAUGUGGAUGGUUAAAGAUUCAUGGCAUCUUAAGUUAGUUUAGAUCUAGCCAGUUUGAACUGGCCCCCCAGAAAAGAUACUUUGGCCUUUGGAUACUUUUGACCAGUUCUUCUCUGAAAGGGUUAGCGAGAGAAAGAAGUUUAGCCAGGUCACUGAGGUAGAACUUGAGGUGACUGACACAGCAGAACCUUCUACAAGCAGGUAGAAGGCCGCAGGGUGGUGUAGGGCACAGCUUUUUUUUUUUUUUUUUUUUUUUUUUGGUUCUUUUUUUGGAGCUGGGGAUUGAACCCAGGGCCUUGCGAUUCCUAGGCAAGUGCUCUACCACUGAGCUAAAUCCCCAACCCCUGGGCACAGCUUUAAACCCGGCAGGGGCAGGCGAAUCUGUGUGAGUUCAAGGCAGCUGGUCUACAGAGCGAGUUCUAAGACAACCAAAACUGUAAGAGGAGGAGGAGGAGGAGGAGGAGGAGGAGGAGGAGGAGGAGGAGGAAGAAGGGGAAGAGGAGGAAGAGGAAGAGGAGGGGGAGGAGGAGGAGGAGGAAGGUGGUAGGGGAGCAAAAUAAUAAAUGCCAUCAGGGACUGGGGAACAGUAGAAGGAAGUUGAGAAAAAUUAGGAGAUCAAUUCCAGGGGAGACAAACAAGGUUAGUGGAAGCAGAUACAAUCAAAAUACUUUAUAUACAUGUGUGACAAUGACAAUGCCAUUAUUAUAACUGAUACAUGUUAAUAAAGCAUUAUAUAUGCUGCUAAUAUAUGAUCAUCAAGUGACAGGUGCCUUAAUGACAAAUAGGAAAAAAAAAACCCAAGAAGACUGAGCUUGAGCUUGCCUGCUUCGCCAGACUGAACAAUGUUAGCCCAACCCAAGGCAGGUCACUUUCUUUUUCCCCCAAACAUACCAAUUACACAGGUUAAAUGCUGGUCAUAGUGUUGAGCCCUGUAAUCCCUGUACUUUGGAGGCUGAAGCAGGGAGGACCGGGCUUUAAAGAUAGCCUAGGGUUUCAGUGAGACUCUGUCUGAGGAAAAGAAGGGAGGGUGGCUAAGGAUGUAGCCCCAUUGGUACAGGGUUUGUCAGUGUUCACCAAGCCCUAGAUUUACCUUCCAGCAUGGCAUAAAACCAGGAAUGGUGAUGCAUGCCUGUAAUCUCAGCGCUUUGGAACUGGGCCCAGGAGGAUCAGGAGUUGGAGGUCGUGUUCUCCUGUAUAGUGAGGAGUUUGGGGUCAGCUUGAAUGACAUGAUACCCGGUCUGAAGGCAUGUCUUGAGAAAUCGUGUAUAUACCCACCUCCCCACACCCUUCCCAGUCCCCAGGAAGCUCUAGCUUACUUACAGAUUGACUUAUUUUAAGCAUUCAGUAUUGUCUUGAGACAGGGUCUCUCUGUGUAGCCCUGACUGGCCCAGAAGUCACAAAUCUGCCUGCUUCUGCCUCCUUAGCACUGUGGUUAGAAGCGUGUGCCACCACCACACCUGGCUCUUAGUUACUUUCCAAAGUUUUUUUUUUUUUUCUCUUUUCUUUUUUCCAGAGCUGGGGACCAAACCCAGGGCCUUGCGCUUGGUUUCUUUCCUUUCUUUCUUUCUUUCUUUUCUUUUCUUUUCUUUUUUUUUUUUUUUUUUUUUUUUUUUUUUUUUUUUGGAGCUGGGGACCGAACCCAGGGCCUUGCCCUUGCUAGGCAAGCGCUCUACCGCUGAACUAAAUCCCCAACCCUGCUUUUCAAAGUUUUAUUGCAUUUAUUUAUAUAUGCAGCAUGGGUGGAUAUGCGUGCCCAGUCACACUUUGGAGGUCAGAAAACAGGGAUCAGAUCACUCUCUCCACCCUGUGGGUCCUGGGGAUUGAACUCAGGUCCUCAGGCUUGCUAAACAGUGCCUUUGCCACAGCCAACUCAGCAGGUCAGUUUUUUUUUAACCUGGGAGAGAACACGUGUUGGACCUUUGUCUUUCUGUGCUACCAUUUCCCUUAACUUGAUGCCUCUCCCUUUGGCUAGAAGUGAAGAACUUCCUUACUGAUGCCUGAAUGAAAUUCCGUUUUGUAUAUAAAUACUGUAUUUUCUCUAUACAUUCGCCUGUGGGUGGCUCAUAAGCUGACUCCACAUCUUAACAGUAGUAAACGUGGAAGACGGGAACCUCUGCUCUCUCUCAGAUGCUGCCUGAUGACAUUUUAGCCUUUGAGUUGUUGGGAGGGAGUGGUCUGUUGGUACCUCCUGGAAGAUUUCUUGUGAUCCUCUUGAGGAUGCUAGGUCAGACACUGAAGUGGCCUGCUAAGGGGCUAAAGAUAGCCUAGGAUAAUUUGGCUUUGGAUCUGUAACAUUCCAACUCUGCACAGCAAUCAGAGAAGUUUUAAAUGAGUCUGUCAGCAUGGUUGAAUCUUCAAAACAGGUGUGGCUUCCUGUCCCUUCCCCACCCUCUUUCUAGGAACUUCUGUUCUACUCCAUUGGGUCGGGGAGGUAAGAGUUUGCUGAUGACUAAUUGCUGGGAGCACUGAGAACCAGGUUGUUAAUCAUACAGGGCUGUCUCCUCAAUGGAGGAGAUAAAACCAAAGCCCUGCAUUCCAUGCAGAAGUCUGAGAGUGCCUUUUGUUAAUGACCUGGUGAGCUUUGGCUAUCCGAGGCUGACCUCACCCAAAUUCCCCAGAAUGAUUAUCCCAGGCUCUUCCUCCCCUAGACCUGUUACCUAUCCUUAGGGGAGAUGUCGCAGUACUUUAUGGCCUACUGACCUCUAUGCUAAAGGUCAGAACCCAUACUACAUUCUAGGCCUUUUAGCUAUAGAACCCACCCUCCUGGCUACGUGUAUUUUGUGAAAGAGUUUCUAAGUAAUUGUGGUUCCUACUCUGCUCCCACCCACUUAACAGCAUGAUAACCUUCCAUCAGGCCAGGGGCCUAAGAGGGAAAAGGGGUCAAGAAUGGCAGGAGGAUGGGCCGGGAGAGGUGAGGUGGUGGGGGUAUGAUGAAGACCUCAGGCCGUGGGUGAACACGGAGAAACAGAGUUGAUUAAGCAGAAUGCUUCUUCAGGAAGUGUUUGCUUCUUAAUUGGGGGAACAAAGGCUACUUAAAUCUUUGAUGAGUAGGUGGAGGCUUGACGGGUGAUGUAUAAGGAGGAAUUCCAAGUGCUGCUGGACAUGACCUUAUAAGGGGAAAGGAAGUUUAACCUGGCUACUGGCUAUGUGACCUCCUCUGGCGGGGCAAAGGUGGGGACACAGGUCUACGUGCAGUUCCAGCACAUCAAGGGUGGCCAUGCUACUACUACUGCUGACCUCAGGAUGAGAUUUCCUGGGUCUAGAUAGGCCUCCAUCCCAGUCUUGAUCCAGGCUUGCUCCCCACGGCUCCCCUGACCGCACGUGUAGUUACAUCUUAAGCUUCAUUGUGCAGCUGGAUUGGACCGAGUGUUUCCUGGAAAUCUCCUUCCAAAUUGUUCUGUGGUUUUUUUUUUUUUUUUUUUUUUCGGAGCUGGGGACCGAACCCAGGGCCUUGUGCUUCCUAGGUAAGCGCUCUACCACUGAGCUAAAUCCCCAGCCCCUCGUUCUGUGUUUUAACUAUGCUGACAGCAAUCCAGCCACCUAGCAUUAACUCCCUGAAGUCGGUCAGCACUGGGCGUUCAUUCUCAUUUCUGUACAGCUCACCUGGCUGAGACCUGCAGGGACCCCCUCAAUUCAUGCGGAGGAAAUCUAGACAAUGAACCCCGACAUAGAGAUCCAAAAGGAUAACUUAGCCGGGUGGGUGCAGGUGAGAAGGUCCUGGGUUCAGGGGCCUUGUUUGAUAGGCUAGGGUACAGCCCAGUAGCAGAAGGCGUGGUGACCAUUACUAGGAGUGUGUCCUUGUAACUACAUUCAUUUAUCACUGAAUGGUGAUAAAUGGGGACAGAGCCACCAUUCUUUUUUUUUUUUUUUAAGAUUUAUUUAUUUCAUGUAUGAGUACACCGUGACUAUCUUUAGACACACUAGAAAAGGGCAUUGGUUCAUAUUACAGAUGGUUGCGAGCCACCAUGUGGUUGCUGGGAAUUGAACUCAGGAACUUGGGAAGAAUGGUCAGUGCCCCUAACCACUGAGCAAUCUCUCCAGUGACCCCCAGAGCCACAGUUCUAUUCCAUUCCUGCAGCCUGAAGGGUUCUCUUUCCCUUUAUUGACCUCCACUCAGACCAAAGAGGUUAGUAGCCUCAAUAAAAAGAUAUUUUAAUACAAGUUUAUUAUUUUAUGUGUAUGAGUGUUUUACCUGCAUGUACUUAUCAUGUGUGCGCAGUGUCUAUAGAGGCCACAAGAGGGUGUCAGAUUCCUUGGCAUUAGAAUUACACAGUAAAGCAAGGGUGGGUACUUGGAAUUGGAGUUGGGUCCUCUGGAAGAGCAGCGUGUGCCUUUUAACCUUCUCUGAAUGUGCAAUCUCUCCAGGUCUCUUUCCUGUUUUGAGAUAGGGUUUCACUCUGUAGCCUUGGCAGGCCUGGGACUCACUAUGUAGACCAAGCUGGUCUCGAUCUCACAAUUGAGGUCUGGCUGCCUCUGCUUCCCGAGUUCUGGGACUAAAGUUGUGCACCACUACACCUGGCUUCAAUGUAUACCUUAAACCAAUGGGAUUAUUAGGAAGAAACAUGAAAAAGCUGGCAGUGGUGGUGCACACCUUCAACCCCAGCACUCAGUGAGGCAGGCAGAUCUCUUAAGUUAUAGGCCAGCAUGGUCUACAGAGCAAGUUUCAGGACAGCCAUGUUUGUACAGAGAAACCAUGUCUCAAGCAUGGGGGUCGGGGGAGUAAAGAAAAAUAAAAAUUUGGAAAACAUUCAAAAAAACAAAGCUGCAAAGAUGAGUUUAUGAGGGUUAUUUUGAUUUAAGAAAAGGGUUGGGCUAGUAACUUGAGGUUAAAUAUCAUUUUGGUCUCAAAUAAGCAUUUGCUUCCUGUCUAACAAGCUGUCCCUUGGAAGACACACACCCUCUCUGGAAGCAGUUUUGGCAUUCUCAGCAGCUCCCGAAGUUUCCCAGCAGGCAGCAGUCCAGACCUUCUUCAUUCUCUCACAUGCUUUCAUCAUUUUUACUUGUUUGGUUAUGUUUUUGAGACAGGAUUUCUCUGUGUAGCCCUAGCUGUCCUGGAACUCACUCUGUAGACCAGGCUGGCCUGGAACUGGAGAUCUGCCUACCUCUGCUGGGGUUAAAGUGUGCACCACCACACCUGGCUACCUCCAUCCCUUUUCUUCUUUCCUUGUGCCUGGUAGGAGCUCAAGAGCUCCCAGUCUGUUGAGUCAGGCAUCCAGAAGUUAGGAAGCUUUAAGAAACUUACAAAGUGGGGGCUGGAGAGAUGGCUCAGCGGUUAAGAGCACCCGACUGCUCUUCCAGAGGUCAUGAGUUCAAUUCCCAGCAACCACAUGGUGGCUCACAACCAUCUGUAAAGAGAUCUGAUGCCCUCUUCUGGUGUAUCUGAAGACAGCUACAGUGUACUUAUAUAUAAUAAAUAAAUAAAUCUUAAAAAAAAAAAGAAACUUACAAAGCAGGAAAUGGUGUGUGUGUGUGUGGGGGGGGGUCACCUCUGUCCUGUUUGCUGUUUAGAGAUUUGCUUAAGAGAAGUGGAGCUAGCUGGAAGUGGGUGGUCUCUGGCUGUCCCACUUAGUAACUGGGGCUGUCAGGAAGGCCAGGGACCCCUUGAU